CACACAACGGGGUUUCGGGGCUGUGGACCCUGUGCCAGGAAAGGAAGGGCGCAGCUCCUGCAAUGCGGAGCAGCCAGGGCAGUGGGCACCAGGCUUUAGCCUCCCUUUCUCACCCUACAGAGGGCAGGCCCUUCAGCUCCAUUCUCCUCCAAGGCUGCAGAGGGGGCAGGAAUUGGGGGUGACAGGAGAGCUGUAAGGUCUCCAGUGGGUCAUUCUGGGCCCAGAGAUGGGUGCUGAAGCUCCCACACCUGCCUGUGAAAAUGGAUUCCUCUCUCACCUGGGAGAGCCAGGUGCUGCCCCGAGAAGGAUGCAUUUAUGGCUUCAUGAAGUCUUUCCUGACCCCCGAUGCUGCUGACUAUAGAGACAAAGUCUCACUAUGUUGCUCAGGCUGGUCUUGAACUCCUGGCCUCAAGCGAUCCUCCCACCUUAGCCUCCCAAAGUGUUGGGAUUAUAGACAUGAGCCACUGCACCUGGCCAACCUUGGGCAAGUUCUUAAACCCUUCAAAGCCUCAUUUUUCUCCAAUCAUAAAAGGGAAAGAUGGUAAUAUUUUCCCCGCCAAAUUCUUGUCGGAUGCCCUCACAGAAUUGAGAUUAUGUACGUAAAACACCAGGUGCCUAACCCGGCACAGAGCAGGAGGGCUAAGCGUGACAUCCAGCAUGUGGUCAGUGGAAUCCAGUAUUCCUACCCACCUCUCUAGUCUCCCCUCCACCCCUCUCCCUUUCAGAGGCACCAAGCUGCUUGUGGUCUUGUCUAUUCCCACUCCCUGCCCGACUGAACAUUUUCUCUACCUCCUGAUCAUCAGCAGCAGAAACUGGCUGCUCUUCCUCCUGGGUAGACAGCCAGACUGUAUUUCCCAGCUGCCCCUGCAGUGAGAUGUGGCCAUCGGAGCCAGCAUUGGCCAAUGGACUCUGCAUGGGAGUGACGCAUGCUGCCUCCAGGCUUGUCUCUAAAACCUCCCACGUGUCCUCCACCUGCUCUUCCCACCUCCAAGGAGCACGGCAAUUGUGGAAGACCCAGAUUAGUGAUGGCAGAACCAUAGAUGGGAGGAACCUGGGUCCCUGACUUAAAGUAUCAUGGAUUUGGAUGUUCCCUUAGUGAGAAAUAAACUUCCAUUGUGUUUAAGCCUUUAUUUGUUUAUAGUUGGUUACAGCAACUGCCUUCUUUUAAUUAAAACACUCCUGCUGCU
rnacentral:lncRNA from 10 species